UGGGAUAAUUUGUGCCAAAUGACAUUUAGCUUUGCAGAGUGUACAGUUCCCACAUACUGUGACCAUUAGAAAACCACUCAGUAAUUUUAAGUACUAGAUGCUUUCAGCUCUGACCCCUGGAUAACAAAAGCCAAAAGUAAAAAGAAAAUGCAUCAAGUGCUAAACAGCAGUAAGCCUAAUGACUACAUAGACCAUUAGGAAAUGGGCAAACAAAAUUAACUCUCAGUGGGAGUUUCAGGCUCUCCAAGCACAUGUCUUUGGCUUCAUUAACCUCCUGCUACAACCAGGGCCAGAGUCACUGUCAACACUGCUCUUCCUCGCAUCUUUGGUAGCCAGAGAGGGGAAUUAACUCUACGCGUGGACCUUGGGGACCUACAUGGAAAAAUGGUGAUACAGUACUAUUCCGAAUCCAUCUCUCUGAGCUUUUGAUUAAAAGAAAGCGGAGGUCAGGAAGGACCAGUUAUGCAGAGAAAGUUAACUGCCUAUUUUUUCAAUUAGCAUUUGUAUGUGUAUGUGUGUCUGUGUGCACGUGUGUAUGUAGUGCUGGCAAGUGUCAGUUUUACCUGUAUUCUCCUUUUCCUUAAAACUUUUAUUUAUCCAUGUCAACUUGGGUCACUGCAUUUCCUCUCCCUCUCCGAGGAUUGCAGACUCCUUUUUAUUCGAUAAAGAAACUACAGGUCGGGGCAUAUAGAGGGAAGUGGACCUCGUAUCUGUAACAGCAACUUGGGAUGCCCUAGUUGCCCUGGUUACGAAGGUUGGAAGCACUAGAAGAGCAAGCAGGGAACAGCAAGGCAGCCCAGAGAUGAGCAGCCUCCGGAUGACCGCCUCUCGUGGGGCUGAAGAGACAGAGGAAAGGGGUGGAGCAUCAAAGCCUGGAGCAGGGGCCACCCAGGAAGCUGGAACUGCAGCGGACAUGCCUAGAGAAAGCUGGAGGUAUGGAGCAGAGCUGCUGCUGCUGGAGUAGCCACGAAAGCUGGAUGAGUAACUUAAUAAUGACCAUACAUUCAGAACAUCGAUAAGGGGCAUCCGUUGAACGUCUGGACGACCAUCAGUUCUGGCCAAGAAGAAACUCAAGAGUUGUCUCGUUAGUGAAUCUGUGCCCAACCUUUGUGUGGGAGAUUGAGAUCAGAAAGGGAGUGACGAUUAAGAAACUCAAGGUCGGCUGAGUUAUUCUCCAGUCAUUGUCCAAAAAUGAAGGAUUCUAAUUAAAAUGCAACGUGGCAGCCUAAAGGAAUAUCGGUUCACGUGAAAUUACUAUACCAGGAGCCAGCGCAAAUUAGAAAUCCUGAUGGGGAAAGGAGAGAAGAGAAAGGAAAAUAAAGAAUGAUGUGAAAUGACAGUGUCUCCCGGAGAGCACCCAUCUCUUCAGAGUCUCUGCAGUUCUCACUCUUCUUAUGUUACACGGCUUCCUUUCUGAAGUCCCGGGGCUUCUCACUGCAAUCAUUAUAGUUACCUAUGAGUGAUGGGCUCUGCUCUCGUGGUUUCCCUCAGAACAGAACGUCUGUUCCUCCAGCAACAUGACUAAUCUCCCUCAACCCAUGACAGUGUACAGACCAGGUCACAAUAAAAGGAUGAUGUUUAAUAA